rnacentral:misc_RNA from 1 species
GAUGAAGAACGUAGCGAAAUGCGAUACGUAAUGUGAAUUGCAGAAUUCAGUGAAUCAUCGAGCCUUUGAACGCACAUUGCGCCCCCUGGUAUUCCGGGGGGCAUGCCUGUCCGAGCGUCAUUGCUGCCCUCAAGCACGGCUUGUGUGUUGGGCCUCCGUCCUCCUCCCGGGGGACGGGCCCGAAAGGCAGCGGCGGCACCGCGUCCGGUCCUCGAGCGUAUGGGGCUUCGUCACCCGCUCUUGUAGGCCCGGCCGGCGCUUGCCGACACAUCAAUCUUUUUUCCAGGUUGACCUCGGAUCAGGUAGGGAUACCCGCUGAACUUAAGCAUAUCAAUAAGCGGAGA